rnacentral:lncRNA from 1 species
GUUGGUAGAAUGUGUUUUAACACCAACAGAAAGAUAUAUUGAUUACAGAACUUUAGGCAUGGUUGAGCAGCUGAAUGAUUUUUUGCUGUAUCCUUGGGACCGUAAGGCAUACUUUGUUUUGUUGAAGUUGUUGCAACAAUCACAUACUGAAAGAAUACAAAGAAUGCAACAGACAGGCCAAAAUGAAUGUAAAUAUACACUACAUAGAUAUCCGCUUGCUUUUCAGGUAAUUUUUUUUAAAUUUAUUUACUCUAUAUGUUGAUUUUAUGCGUAUGUUAAUAUUGAUUUUGAAUCCUCUGCUGUAGUUUUGG